UGUAGUCUACGUGAUACGCUGGUAUACGCCGUAUGCCCACUAGAAAGGCUUAAGAAUUUCCGUAUAACCACUAAAAAGUGGCCGAUGUUACGUGGCAAUCCAUGCGUGUGUUCAUUACAUUCGCAUUCAUGGACAAGUGAAACUCCCCUUUGCUUCUCUCCGCUGCUCUCUGCUGCUGCGUCACCUCUCCUCCUGUUGCCAAGACUGAGCCAAUGAGCUUACACUACAGCGCACUGCUCUGCGAUUGGUCUGGUAUUCAGCGGCUCAUUUGUAAUUGGCUGGAACGGUGUGGGCGGGAACAUAUGAAAUUCACUCAGGAAGAGAGCACGGAGAAGCGUCGCAGAAACUAGCGGAUGAAGAUGAAGAGAAAACAAGCGACACUUUUUGAUUGUUUUUAUAAACCGGCUCCUCCAGCUGUAGCAACAGAGACAGCCUUAGAAGAACCCACCACCACCAGCUUGACGGCUCAACACAAACAUAAUGAGACUGACGUCAGCGUUACUCCUGCCCCUGGUCCUUUAAAGACUCUCCAGGGGAAAAGUCAGUAGAGGCCAGUGAAGCAAAGGCUUCAGGACACUUUGGGUCUGUUCCCUUACAGCCAAACCCCAAACUAAAAUCAGUAGUUCCAAAUCAGUUCCUGCAAAGCUUGAUCAGUAAUUUGGAGAAGUGACUCUCCUUUCAAGGGGAAAUCCUACGUGAUCUGAGCAUACUUGAUAAAACCAGUUGGCCAUCAAACCCCAGUAUCAGAUAUGGUGAGACAGAAAUAAAGAGACUUUGCAAGAGAUUUAAUCUUUGUGAAAACCAGGCUGUCAAUGGCAUGAGAGACUUUACUGAGGACCAAAACAAGGAGCCUGAAAACCUUAAACCUCUGAUCAUUUGCAUGAAAACCAUACCAUGUAGCACAGCUGAAUGUGAAAGAGGCUUUAGCCUAAUGAACAAUGUAUGCACUGAUAAAAGGUCUUCUCUGUUACUGUCAAAUGUUAGUCAUCUCAUGAUGAUCAAUAUAAAUGGCCCUCCUAUUAAUCUUUUUGAGCCUAGGAAGUAUGUAACAACGUGGUUACGAAAGCACCACUCUGCAACACAGACACGACGACAAGUGAAACCUAAGCAGCCCGAGAACAAACGCUUUUGGAACAUUUUAUAGAUCUACACAUUCAUUUGGUUCAAUCUGUAUUUGAACAAUUAAUAUACUUCUUUACGUCUUAGUAUUUGAACAUGUUUUGAAUAUAUGCUGUAUCCAUGUUUUCAAUACAAUUCCUGCAGCUCUGUUAUGGUUGUUGUACAUUUAUCCAGUUCAAAUACAAGCAUCUGAGAAUUUUUGCAAAGUUAAAUAUGCAAAAAAUAAAAUAAAAUUCUUGACUGCAUUGCA